UACGUAGGGGGCAAGCGUUGUCCGGAAUCAUUGGGCGUAAAGCGCGCGUAGGCGGACCUGCAAGUCGGGGGUGAAAGCCCGAGGCUCAACCUCGGAACUGCCUUCGAUACUGCGGGUCUCGAGUCCGGGAGAGGUGAGUGGAAUUCCUAGUGUAGAGGUGAAAUUCGUAGAUAUUAGGAAGAACACCAGUGGCGAAGGCGGCUCACUGGCCCGGAACUGACGCUGAUGCGCGAAAGCGUGGGUAGCAAACAGG
rnacentral:rRNA from 1 species